UGUACCUUAUUGUAUUGAUAAUAUUGUAUCCUCUUCUCUCUCUCCUAUAGUUGAGUUAUGCUGAUAUGUUGAAGAGAGUUGAUCCGUUACGUAAAGGAUUGAAAGAUUUGGAAACCAAAGCUGAGGACACUCGUCAAAAAGGAGAAGAAAUGACAAAAAUAAUAGCAGAACUUGAAGCCUCUAUAGCAAAAUAUAAAGAAGAAUAUGCAAUGGUUAUAUCUGAUGCUAGUGUUAUUAAGAAUGAUUUAUCAACUGUUGAGAAAAGGGUAAGUUCCUCCUUCGUUUGCGUCACCUUGAGAAGAGUCUCCUCACUGCAUUGAACGAGGUCAAGGGUCGUAUCCUAGACAACAACAGAAUCAUUACUGAGCUUGAGACUCUUAAGGAAGAGGCUUCAGAAAUUCAGAGGAAGAUGGAGGAGACUGAUACUGUAAUGGCUGAAGUUGACAGAGUCUCCCAGCAAUACCUGCCUCUCUCCACCUCCUGCUCUGCCAUGUACUUCACUCUGGAGUCACUCAAUCAGGUAAUUGAAAUCAUGUGACUGUCGUUUGAUUUAGCGGUAC